CUCUUUCUCGGGAAAGGCGGAAAGCGAGUCUCCCGGGAUUCGAAGCCCGCCGCCCAAAAACUCAGUCGGAGGACGCUUUGGGCUCUCGAAGCAGGCGAAGGCCUCCAAAGCGGGCACAGCCACGAGCGCCGGCGGGAGGAAGCAUGUAGGCGCCCGCCGGCUUGGUUCUCCCUCCUCUCCGCCUUUUCCAACAGUUUCUCGGGCGGCGGGAGGGCCACGCCCCGGGGAAGAAGGCAGAGCCCGGCGCUGCCCAAGGAGGCUCGUUCGGCGAAGUCGCGUCCCUUUCCGAGCCUGAGCCAGGCAUGGAGCAACUUUGACGGGGCUUCCCUCGACGCGCCCGGACAAUGGGACGGGACAGAGCCCCGGGGGCAGGAGAUCAAAGGCAUGGACUGAUGGCAUGUAAUCUACUUUUAGGGGAGUCCCCAAGAAACAGAAUGUGUAUCUUGUUUACUGGGGGUUCUGCAGCCUCCACUUUUUCUCCAAAAAGUUGCUAGUAGGGACAUUUCUGUUGGCUUCAGACUGGAUCCCAGCACCGUGAGUUUUCUGAUUUCCCAGAGUGAUUAAAAACUUUCUUAUUCAUUCUUCCCUCCUCCUUACCCACCUUCUUGAAUCAUAGGAGAAAAGAAAGUAAAUUCUGCAAUUUGCUUGAGUAUGGCUCCUUGGUCACACAAGGAAAAAUGUAUUCCUGAUCUAUUGUCUCUCCCAACUCAAUUGCAUUUAUAAGAUGAGGAGCUAGCAGGUAGUUUUAAAGUUGGAGAUAAUGAUCCCAUUCACAAGAUCUGUGCAAUUUCUCAGGUGUAACCCUAAUUUGCUUUUCAAAAGCAGUUUUUUUUUGCCUAUAACGUAAGUGGUAGGGAUCAAGGAGUUCAGUCAUUCACCUACUCCAUGCAAUAAUGCAUGACAAGAAUAUUCCAAAGAUGUUUUCCGCUUUGAAGGCAACUGUUUCCUGCCCCUCUAGGUAUAACCAGAAAACAUAUUGAGGUAACUUUUCUCUUUACAGGAAACUGACAAGUAGAUCAGUGAUUCAUUUGCUAAUCUGAAAGCAAUUUGUGCUUCUUGGGAUACAUUUUUU